CCGGGAAGGAACUGGGCCCCACCAGGCUUGGGACAGGACUUGUGGGGAACGAGUUUGCCUGGGUGGGGCCCUCCAUGCCAACCCCAGGGUCCACGGAGGGUGGGCACCUGCACCUGGCCAAGUGGGCAGGGCUGUCGGGAGCGCCGUGGGGCUCAGCGCCGCAUCAGUGGGGCCUUGGGGGUUACACGGCCCUCCUGAGGCUGGGCUCCUGGAGCAGGAUCUGGGCCUGAGGAGUUCGCCUGGGGCUGGUAGGGCUGGGCUGGAGGCGGACGCAUCAGGUCUGUUAUCCCCCAGCUGAGUAACGCUCAGGACCGGCUGCAGGGCUGCGAGAGACUAAAGAGAAAUGCAGGAACCAUCGCAGCCACUGUGGGUGGGGCAUUGCUGUGUUUGUGUGUGUGGUGAGUAUAUUUGUGUGGGUGGUGUGUGUGGACAUGUAUGUUUUGUGUAGCAUGUGUAUGUGUUGUGUGGGUUUGUAGGUGGUGUGUUGUGCAUGUUAUAUGUAUGUAUGUGUGGUGUAUUGUAUGUAUUGUGUGUGUGGUGUAUGUGAUGUGGCGAGUCUUGUGUGUUGUGUGUUCACUGCAAAUUCACAGGUUCAGCACCAGGCCAUGUUCCAUGGGAGAUACUCAAGGGGUAUAAGAAUCGGUAUGACUGGUCGCUGCCUUUUGAGAGAACUGGCUUACUGAGGGGAAGAUGAGAUUCCUCACAGCUAAGCAUUACCAGGACAUUCUGAGUUUCAUACGUGUAUAGAGGUUUACAGAAAGAAGGUUCGAUGUGUGCCAGAGUGGAAACACUUCUGGGAAAGGUGGGACUUUCUUCGAGUUGGAAGGGUGAGGCUAAUUUAGCUGA
rnacentral:lncRNA from 10 species